AACGUAGGUCACAAGCGUUGUCCGGAAUUACUGGGUGUAAAGGGAGCGCAGGCGGGGGAUCAAGUUGGAAGUGAAAUCCAUGGGCUCAACCCAUGAACUGCUUUCAAAACUGAUCGUCUUGAGUAGUGCAGAGGUAGGCGGAAUUCCCGGUGUAGCGGUGGAAUGCGUAGAUAUCGGGAGGAACACCAGUGGCGAAGGCGGCCUACUGGGCACCAACUGACGCUGAGGCUCGAAAGUGUGGGUAGCAAACAGG
rnacentral:rRNA from 1 species